CCUGGGGAGUACGGCCGCAAGGUUACAACUCAAAGGAAUUGACGGGGACCCGCACAAGCGGUGGAUGAUGUGGAUUAAUUCGAUGCAACGCGAAAAACCUUACCUACCCUUGACAUGUCCAGAAGCCCGAAGAGAUUUGGGUGUGCCCGAAAGGGAGCUGGAACACAGGUGCUGCAUGGCUGUCGUCAGCUCGUGUCGUGAGAUGUUGGGUUAAGUCCCGCAACGAGCGCAACCCUUGUCGUUAAUUGCCAUCAUUUAGUUGGGCACUUUAACGAGACUGCCGGUGACAAACCGGAGGAAGGUGGGGAUGACGUCAAGUCCUCAUGGCCCUUAUGGGUAGGGCUUCACACGUCAUACAAUGGUCGGUACAGAGGGUUGCCAAGCCGCGAGGUGGAGCCAAUCCCAGAAAGCCGAUCGUAGUCCGGAUUGCAGGCUGCAACUCGCCUGCAUGAAGUCGGAAUCGCUAGUAAUCGCGGAUCAGCAUGUCGCGGUGAAUACGUUCCCGGGUGUUGUACACUCCGUCCGUCACACCC
rnacentral:rRNA from 1 species